AAGUGCGUAGCAGAGAAAAGUAUUGUAACCAAAGAUUGUUUGAUAUUCUGUAGAUCUGGAGAAAUGUACAUACAGAUGAUAGCAGUGAAUAGCAGCCCAUAGAAUGUCCAAAGAAAGUCGACGUUUGAACAGUGAAUCAUAUCCGUUUGACUGACUCGCUGCUCCUUGAGCCAUUGCCCAGCAGUCACUGUUAUGUCAAUGUUGGUGGAGGCCUUGCCCCAAGAAUAAGUCCUUUGUAUUUCUACAAUGUAAUGCCAUUACAGUCUGUUACAUUGCAGAGAGUGUUUAAAACGAAAUGAUACCUUUAAAUAUAUAUAUACAAUUUUUGAUAUUAUGAUAUUUUUUAUAGAGUAGGAUAUGUAUUCUCAAUGGUUCCCAAACGUUUGGGUUAGUGGACGAUGGCUAAGCACAAACAAAAAUAGUUGUUUUUCUUUUCAGAGGACUGACUUUUGUGAAAAUAGACUGUCAUUAACAAAUCCAAAGAAUUGUGUCAUAGGUAAUUAAAGGCCCACAAUCCUAUCUGCACUCAAAGUAUGUCUAGCCUGAUAGUGAAUGGUAAAUUAGACUUAUGCUUAUUGUAAUUCUACAUGUAGUUAGGAUGGUAAACUGUUCGUAAUCUCGAGUAAGUAUGUUUCUAGGACUAAACGAAAUAAAAACAUAAAGUUAGGUUUUAGUCCAGUUGUUU